ACCUACUCGUGCUCGUAGCUCGAUCGGAGACGAGUGUGGUCCGGCGGAAAAACAUAAGUCGUCCCUCUCGACGUGAUACCUGGCGGAAAUAGCUUAAUGGUAGAGCAUAGCCUUGCCAAGGCUGAGGUUGAGGGUUCAAGUCCCUCCUUCCGCUCAAGGCUUCGUCGUUUAGUGGUAACGAGUAGAGUGCAUAAGCACCCUUAGAAAUAGGGGCGAGACCCCUUGGAUAGGGUUACAAACCAAUCAACCUAAUAGGAAGAAAGAAAGGUCCCUUUUGUUUUAGCGCGCAGUGUACUAGUGAAUAGGAAAAGCAGAUUGAGAUUACUAAUGACAGAUGGAGGUUGAGUCUCGAACAUCUUCGGUGCCUCGCCCUUGUCUCCUUCGCCUACGACUGCUUAGAAUGCUCAUCCUAUCGAUUCAGAGGCAUAGGUACUCCCUCUCCCACAACACACUCGUCGAGACGAAAGAAACCUCCCGACAUAGAGAAGAGAUAUCGACGUCUGGGGACUCGAGAUCACCCUUCCCUUUCACCUGAACUGGUCGAGAGAGAUUAACCCGCACCACAUACAUUUUCUAACCUUCGAACCGAAACCCCCUCAGAUGGAAUUCCAGAACCUAAACAACUCCGUUGAGAGCUCCGUGACCGGGUAAAGGGAAGGUCCACCAAUGAUUGAUAGGACAUUCCCACCCUAUCCGUCUCUUUCUACCUCAUUACACUAAUUAGUUGUUACUGAUUCAUUCAAUCAAGGCAUAGACCCCCACCCACUUCUUUGUCUUAUUAGCGCAGGUGUUCGUCAACGAUGAAAGCCGCUGAACUUCAGACUCGAUUUGAGAAAGAGGGCUAGGCCCUGGAGAGGAGGGCUUGAUGGGACUAGGGAAGACGGCUGGAUUAUAGAGCUAGGGGCAGGCAGAUCGGAUCGAAGGGUUGUCCAUUGGGAUUGGGCAUGGACGAGCACUGGGCCAGCAUUGAUGACAAAA